GUGCUCACUUCAGCAGCACAUUUACUAAACAAUACAGAGAAGAUUAGCAUGGCCCCUGCGCAAGGAGGACACACAAAUUCAUGAAGCGUUCCAUAAAACA
rnacentral:snRNA from 1 species